UCGCUCAGUCUCAUCGAAAACAUUCGCCGGGUAGGACGUGUUUUCGUCGUCGCGGCCAUUCAACGACUUUCGUGCGCAUUUGGUGUGAGUGUUGAACUGUUGUAUGGAAGGGUAAACGUAUCGAGAGGAAGAGGGUUCAGUUGUUGUUUUCGUCCGUGCAUCGUUCGUUCCUUGACAACCCAGUGCUGCGCCAUGAUGUGGAAGCCUCUUCUAGCACUGUCUCCUAUGUGUCAAGGGUUGUUGUGAUCCCAAAGCAUAACUGAAAAUCAACCUGCCGGUAGCACAGUCUAGAAGUGUGCAUAGUUUCCAUAAGAAUUUAAAAUUCAUUCUUACGUACGUUGGUGUAAAAUGUUGAAGUGUCCUUUCAAGGACGUCUGUCAACGUUCGUUAAAAAUACUUAAAAUGAAAAAAUAGUGCAACGGCAUGGGCAUGAGCGAAUAUUGAAAAUAUAACCCCACCACGACUGCUCUUCAAGUGACCGUGAAACUAAUGAUAGUGCCCGACCGGUAGUGAGAAAGUGUGAGAAAACGCCUCUGGGAAGAUGCAUCCGAUACUGCUGUCACGAUCUGCAUAAUCAACGACCUCUUCUGUGGCGGCAAUACCAUAAAAAUGUACAUAAAGAUGAACAAUAAUCUCUUUUAUCGCGUAUCUCAAGCUCACCAAAAGACGCAUUACUUCUUAUUUUCAUCACAAAAGCAAACAUAAGAAGUAUUAACAAAGGUGUUUUCUAGCGAAUCGUUAACUCCUGUAUCAGAAACACAGCACAGUGCAAUGAUAUACGAACUGAAUUACAAAUGACGUCUGAUAAAUCGAAUUUGGAUUAACAACGAAUGAUUUAUCACCUUUGCACGUCUAAAACGUAGAUAACAUAAUCGCAUCGACCAACGCAACCAUCGGAGAUAGUUCCUACACGUUUCAAUCGAGCAAGGACUUCUCCAUAAAGAACAUAGGUGGCUGCAUUCAACAACAAAAAUAAACAUCAAAAGCAUAAUCUUAACAAACUAUAUCCUAAGGACUCUAACUAGAGUAACCGAAACUUUUGGAAAAUUACAAUUAUUCUUAUGCAAAAAUGAUGCAAAACGGGAUUUCCUUAAUUCAAGACGAAUGUCUUCAGCAGCUUGUCUGCUUUCAUUUUGACACUCAACAACAUGAAAUAGAAUUUUGGAAACGAGUAAACAAACGACGAGCAUGGAUAACAAGGUGACGGAAUUGGAAAACUUCGUUGCGUAAAGUCGAGCUGCAGAAAAUUGCGAUCGUUUGAACAUCGUUCAAAUAGAGGCUUUUGGUAUCAGAAAUGAAGAAACCUCCAAUUACCAUUCUAUUUCACUAUAAGACCGAUUCUAUGUCGUAUAGUGGUUAGGUAAUCGAGGGCGAAAAUAUUUUCAACGAAUGUUCAGAAAUAUCUUGGAUUAAAGAUGCCCAGGAUACAGAAGCCAAUAUCAUACGUUUCUGCAUACAAAGGAACUAAGUCGGAUAAUGAUUCACAGCGAAUGAUAUUCCUUCGUAAGAUGCUUACGUUGGUUUUGCUUCAGGAAAAUUGAAGUAAUUACAAGGUAUCUUAAAUUAAGAGUUCUAGUCGAAAGCCAAACGAACCAUAGCAAACAAAUCUGGUUGCAUAUAACACAUACAAUAGCAUGGAAAAAGCACUGUACCACAAAUCAUAGAAUUGAAUUGUACAACAUCGGCUAGACAUUUCCACUGUGUUGAUCCAAUAAUACACAAUAUCCAACACUUCUGAAACAUAUUUCUUUAUCAUAAAUCAUACACAGAUAUAAAAAUAAAAGAAAUAAUUAAAAAAUGAA